GCCCAUUGUGCAAAGAGAAAUCAGAUGCUACAGAUUUAAGUUCAUCGGGUAUUUUCGAUAGUCUGAAUUGUCUACUGUCCUGUCUGUCGUGCUGUUUCCCGAUUUUCACUCUCUCGUGUCUGUACACGAUGUGCUGCCAGGAUAUUGUUACGGAUCAUCGAAAAUGCUGCACGAAAUGUGGUGGCCAUUUGGGUUUCUAUGCCAGGCCCCAUUAG